UAUGCAGGUUUUGUGUUAUCCGCUUUGUGCCAACCAUGCAUUAAUGCAGAAGUACUGGCCUGCAACAUUGAAAAGGGAAGGUGGGCAGUCUGCUUUUAAGGUGAUUGAAAUGCUUGACAAUCACCUUCCCUAUAUUA